AUUGCCUAAUAUAUGCCCAAAGGGAACAAUGGAUUUCAUUAAUGGAAAUCAACAUAAUUAAAAAGAACAUAUUUGUUUUUUCAGAUCACAUCCUUAAAAGUGAUUUCUUACAUAAGGAAGAUAAUAUUAUCAGCUCUACCUCAAAGGUAAUUUUUUUUUAAAUAUAUUUUUCUAGUAUAAAAAAAUCGUCACAAAAAGUAUUAGUGUUACUCAUAUAAGCUUUAUUUAUACCUAAUACUUAUUAAAUUAGGUAGGUAUGUGUGUAAAACUAUUUUUUUACUAGGAUUUCUGAUGCACUGGUUAAAAACACAGCAGCCGAUAAUUUAGUUAAUUUAAGUGAUUUACCCUUCAAAGCUGCAGGGAUAGUUUUCCUGAAGAGUGCAAAAACUUCUUUAGCUUCUAAAAUGGUAUAUAGUACAAACAGUGAAGCUAAUAUAGACAAAUCUGAUUAUUCAUCAUCAACAAUAACUGCAUCUGAGCUUAAUAGUUACCGUGGGGUCUAGGUCAACAAUUACUAUUUCUCAUCCAAGCCGUUUUUGUUUAACUGCUACACAUUCCCUGAUUCUGUCAAGGAAAAGGGUAAAAUCAAAAUGAUAUCCUGAGGACCUAAGCACUGAUGAUUCAUCAAAUUAUGGGAAAAAAAAAAAAAGAACAAAAAAUUUUAAUUCGAAGAUUGCAACAAACAAAUUUUCGCCAAAGAUAUUGAAUUAGAUUUCUCAAGUCAUUAUUAAAAUACUUAAGAAAUAAUAACAUGAUUUUCGAAAAAUCCCAACAUACUACAUAUUUGAUUUGACUUGUAAAAGUACUUGUUUGUAUAUUACUACUAAUAAACUAUCUAAUCUAAUCCAUUGUCUUUAUUCGUAGGUAAGCUUUGUUUUUUAGUAUAAAUUAAUAUGAUAUAAUACUUGGUAUUAGGUAUUAUAUAGGUCACUGUUAAAUGUCUCAAAAACCAUUGUACAGGCUAAAUACUCAUAAUAAAAAUCUUCUAACCUAUAAAAAACCUGCAACUCCUUCACAAUUUGAACAUCCUUGUAGUUUUAACUCUUUCCGCUGAAGCAAUACUGUCCCUUUGAAAAAGUCAGCACCAUAGAAGUAUAUAUUAUGUGAUUUAAAGUAAGUGAUGUAAAACUGAGUUUUGUAUAAUAUAAUAAUUAUAAUAAAAUUUUGCAAAAUGUUAAAAAUUUGUGUCUUAAAACAUGAUUUAUUAAGAAAUCUAUAAUUUUAUAUUAAUAAAAUAUUUUAUUUCCAUAAAAAUGCCUUGACAAAAAUGCUGCCUUUUAUUAGGACCUUCCUCUAACGAAGUCCGUUAAAAAAACACAUAAAUAGCUCAUAAAUGGUAAUAUUACUUAUAUUUAAACUCUAUAAUAAUUCAUAAAAAUUUAUCAGGUAAAUAUUUGUUGACGACGUCACUGGUAGAGAGUGCUUGUAUCGGUGGCAUCAACAAUGCGAUCGAGCGGCGUUGCGGUGCCAUUACCGUUUUCUCGUUGCUUCGUACUUUAUUUUCAUUUAUUUAACGUAUAUUGACUUCGAUAUAGAGUAUCUUAUCAAAUUUAUUUUAAAAAAAUGCUUGAUAUUUUAUUAAAGGGGAGCAGUAGUAUUGUUUUGAGCCUUCGGAAACAACUGAAAAUUUUUAUGAUAUUAUAAAGUGAUUCUUGCCAUUUCUCUAUAAGCAUUUGGCAUCAUUGCAUCAGAGAUGUUGCAAGCAAACAAACCUGCCCAUAGUUCCACGGCAUGCUACUUCUAGCCUUUCAAUGUUCUAAGAAGAAAACAAUGUCGUCAGUCUUUUUUGUUUGUUAUGGAAUUGAUUUCUUAUUACGAUUUUCAAAUUCUCCGAGUUAAAAUACGUCGAUUGGCUAUCUUCAAUUUUUUUAAAUAUACCGGAAAAGUCAAAAAAUAUGCUGUUUUUCCUCUUAAAUGGAACACCCUGUACUUACUUACUAAGGCACUAUUAAGGUUGAGUAUGUUUAUAGAACUCUAGGACUUACCGCAAUUUAAAAUCCAACGUUCGCAAAUACUUGGAUUUUUAUAAGGAAAUUUAAACAUCUUUAACGUAGGAUUCUCUCUUCUAGUUCGCCUAAAUAACAGAAUUACGUCCGUCACAAGAGCGAAUAACAAAAAUAAUAUUGUGUUGCUCAGCCGAGUCGCAGCCGUCGAAUUAAAUUUCGCAACACAGCCAAGCGAUCGGCCAGAUUUCAACGCGUAAUUUCACCGAUGGAUCCUCGCUCGAAAAGCGGGGAUCCUUUUAGGUGGUCAAAAAAUUUACACGGGAUGGAUUUUCUAUAGUUUACUAUUAUUUUCUUUGGUUUGGGGUAAUUUUUUGUGUUGGAGGUGAUUUUCCUUAUACAAAAGAGAGCAAUUUGAAUAAUUCAAAACAUGGCAUUCUUUAAAAUCGUCGUUAUUAAAAGUUAGUCGCUAUUCGCGACUUUUACUGUAUACUAGAGAGUUGUGGGACUACUAAGGCUUC